rnacentral:rRNA from 1 species
GUGGGGAAUAUUGGACAAUGGGCGAAAGCCUGAUCCAGCCAUGCCGCGUGUGUGAAGAAGGCCUUUUGGUUGUAAAGCACUUUAAGCGAGGAGGAGGCUACCGAGAUUAAUACUCUUGGAUAGUGGACGUUACUCGCAGAAUAAGCACCGGCUAACUCUGUGCCAGCAGCCGCGGUAAUACAGAGGGUGCGAGCGUUAAUCGGAUUUACUGGGCGUAAAGCGUGCGUAGGCGGCUUUUUAAGUCGGAUGUGAAAUCCCUGAGCUUAACUUAGGAAUUGCAUUCGAUACUGGGAAGCUAGAGUAUGGGAGAGGAUGGUAGAAUUCCAGGUGUAGCGGUGAAAUGCGUAGAGAUCUGGAGGAAUACCGAUGGCGAAGGCAGCCAUCUGGCCUAAUACUGACGCUGAGGUACGAAAGCAUGGGGAGCAAACAGGAUUAGAAACCCCUGUAGUCC